AUGAUUCCUAUACGGAUGAAACAGACUGUUGUGGUUUUUUGAGGUAAAACGAAAAAUUAUAUUACGCUCUAUCUAUAUGUUAUUGAGCAAAACCACAACAGUCUGUUUCAUCCUUAUAGGAAUCAUCAUGAUUCCUA